UCAAAACUUUUCAGCUAGAGUAUGAUAGAGGAAAGCAGAAUUUCUAGUGUAGAGGUGAAAUUNGUAGAUAUUAGAAAGAAUACCAAUUGCGAAGGCAGCUUUCUGGAUCAUUACUGACACUGAGGAACGAAAGCAUGGGUAGCGAAGAGGAUUAGAUACCCUCGUAGUCCAUGCCGUAAACGAUGUGUGUUAGACGUUGGAAAUUUAUUUUCAGUGUCGCAGUGAAAGCGAUAAACACACCGCCUGGGGAGUACGACCGCAAGGUUAAAACUCAAAUGAAUUGACGGGGACCCGCACAAGUAGUGGAGCAUGUGGUUUAAUUCGAAGAUACGCGCAGAACCUUACCAACACUUGACAUGUUCGCCGCGACUUUAAGAGAUUAAAGUUUUCGGUUCGGCCGGACGAAACACAGGUGCUGCAUGGCUGUCGUCAGCUCGUGUCGUGAGAUGUUGGGUUAAGUCCCGCAACGAGCGCAACCCUCACUUUUAGUUGCCAUCAUUUAGUUGGGCACUCUGAAAGAACUGCCAGUGAUAAGCUGGAGGAAGGUGGGGAUGACGUCAAGUCCUCAUGGCCCUUACGUGUUGGGCUACACACGUGCUACAAUGGUAUAUACAACAGGAAGCAAAACGGCGACGUUAAGCAAAUCCUCAAAAGAUACCUCAGUUCGGAUUGCACUCUGCAACUCGAGUGCAUGAAGCUGGAAUUACUAGUAAUCGUGGAUCAGCGUGCCACGGUGAAUGCGUUCCCGGGUCUUGUACACACCGCCCGUCACACCAUGGGAGUUGGUUCUACCUUAAGGCAAGGUUUUAAACCCUUGACCACGGUAUAGUCAGCGACUGGGGUGAAGUCGUAACAAGGUAGCC
rnacentral:rRNA from 1 species